rnacentral:miRNA from 8 species
UGUCUACUACUGGAGACACUGA